rnacentral:tRNA from 1 species
GGGCAUGUGGCUUAGUGGUAAAGCACUUGCUUGCCUAGCGAGUGUGAGCUCCUGAGUUCAAGCCUCAGCACCACUG